GGAGAAGGGGAAGAACAAUUCACACUUUCAAAUCCUUGGUCAAAAAAUUCAAUCCACCAUAACUUCUUGCUCCGAGCUCCGAUCGUCACACCGUUGGCGGUCACGCGAUCACUGCGUCGAGCUCUACGAUUUCAUCGGAUCAAUUUCUUUGGUUCAAGUUUAGCUUGAGAAACUUGUGAGCCUUUGUUCAAUCAAGAUGUAUUUAAGGCUUGUAUAUGUGUAUGUUGAAGAUAAUUGAGUACAAUGGAGGCUUGGUGAAAGAUUGGCGCUAAAGCUUUAUUGAAUUUGGACUUGUGGGGGCUGUGUGUGUGACCUUGAUGAGUUGCCUCGGAAAAUACGUGGAAAAGCGGCCAAGGUAUGGUUUAGGUUUCGCGUGUUUAAUAUAUAAGGUUGUGUGAAAACUUAGGCUAGAGAACUAUAGGAUAAGUUGAAAAGGGUUUUAUGCAUUAAAUGGCUAGUCUUGUGAUGUUGAUGGUAAAUUGAUGACUUGGCUUGUGUUGGAAUUAAUGGUCAUGAGAUGAAUAAAAUUAAUGUAUUAAAUGGUUGGCUUUGUGAUGAUAUUGGUUAUAUUAAUGCUUGAGCUUGUAUUGAAAAUUAUGAGUAUGAGAUGUUGACAUUGUUGGAUAUGUGUUCUUGGAAUUGCUAAUGAAAGUGUUCAUACCCUGGGUCGAGCUAUGCGACCCGGGCUGA